rfam:Claviceps purpurea 20.1, WGS project CAGA01000000 data, contig: scaffold00041
GCCCUUGUGGCCUAAUGGCUAAGGCGUCUGACUUCUAAUCAGAAGAUUGGCGGUUCGACCCCGCCCAGGGGCU